UCAACUGCACGGUCUUGAUGAGCGAUGUUCACAAGAGCUUCUUCAAAAUUACUGGCCCAUUUCCGAAGAUGGAAGCCAGCUGAUAAUAAGAGUUGGUUGAUUUCGGUCACUUUCUGUUGAGCUUCGUAAAUUGAGUCUGCUCCGCUUACUAAAUCAUCAACGUACAUGUCUUGUCUUAUCAUAUCAGCUGCUAAUGGAUAAUUUUGCCUUUCAUCAUCAGCGAGCUUAUUCAAAGUACGUGUUGCCAAGUAAGGAGCAGAUGCGGUUCCAAAAGUUACUGUUUUUAAACGAUACAGCUUCAAAGGACUCUGGUUGUCACUUCUCCAAUAAAUUAGCUGAUAAAGCGUGUCUUGGUCUCUCAUUUGAAUUUGCCGGUACAUUUUUUCAAUGUCCGCUGUCAAGGUCCAACCAAAAGAUGUUCGUUCAAGGACGUUCCGUCAGAAGUUUUGAAGGUAGCAUCAAAAACUACUCGCAACUUCGUUGUGGUACUGGACUCCUUAAAUACAGCAUGAUGAGGCACGACAUAAUAGAAUGGUGAAUUAAGAAUUCCUUGGCUGACAUCUACUUCUUCCAUGUGAUUUAGUUGAAGGUACUCGGAAAUGCAAGCUGCAUAUUGUUUGUGUAACUCUGGAUUGUUGUUGAGUCUUCGUUCGAGUUGAAGAAAUCUUCUGAAGGCUCCUUGCUGACUGUUUCCAAGUGCGGGUCUAUCACCGUCCUUGAAUGCUUCAGGUUCAUCGAACGGUGUUUCUUCAAUUUCCCAAAAUUUGCGAAGUUGUGAAUCGAUGUCGACAAACUGCAAGUGUAUCCGAAAUGUUUCGACAGGUACCUUACCAAAGACGAUCCAUCCAAGUUGAGUGUUUUG